rnacentral:lncRNA from 1 species
CAUAGAGCGUACUGAACAACUUUAAGCCCGGAUCAUCCGAUUAGGGCUGAAUUUGCAUAACUUUUUCGAGCCAUUUAAAGGAUUAAGUGCAGCCAUAGGAUAGAACCAAGCCAACUCUAAAUUCUGAAACACAGAUCGGUCUAUCUCCCACAAUAUAGUAGAGUUUAGGAAACUUGACCCCUCACAUUUUAAAGGUGGUCAUGAUCCUUUAGUAGCCAAAGCUUGAAUCCUACAAAUAGAGAAGCUCUUCUCUGUACUAGACCUGACCGAAGAA